rnacentral:rRNA from 1 species
AGCAGCCGCGGUAAUUCCAGCUCCAAUAGCGUAUAUUAAAGUUGUUGCAGUUAAAAAGCUCGUAGUUGAACUUCGGGAUCAAUUGAUAUGGUCAUGCCUUGGUAUGUACUGUUCAUAUUGGUUCUCACCUUCUAAUGAACCAUAAUGUCAUUUAUUUGAUGUUAUGGGGAAUUAGGACUGUUACCUUGAAAAAAUUAGAGUGUUUAAAGCAGGCUCACGCUUGAAUACAUUAGCAUGGAAUAAUGAAAUAGGACGUUUGAUUCUAUUUUGUUGGUUUCUAGGAUCGACGUAAUGAUUAAUAGGGAUAGUUGGGGGCAUUAGUAUUCAAUUGUCAGAGGUGAAAUUCUUGGAUUUAUUGAAGACUAACUACUGCGAAAGCAUUUGCCAAGGAUGUUUUCAUUAAUCAAGAACGAAAGUUAGGGGAUCGAAGACGAUCAGAUACCGUCGUAGUCUUAACCAUAAACUAUGCCGACUAGGGAUCGGAUGAUGUAAUUUUUAAUGA